GGGUUUCUCCAUGUUGGUCAGGCGGGUCUUGACUUGAACUCCUGACCUCAGGUGAUCCACUCGCUUUGGCCUCCUGAAGUGCUGGGAUUACAAGUAUGAGCCACCGCGUCUGGCCAAGAAUGUCUCUUCUUUAUAAUAUUGUCUCCAAGCAUGUAAUAUUUUCGGCAAAUUUUAUUAAGCACCUAUAGAGUUCAAGCCACUGUGGGUUCAAAGAUGAGCCCUCCUCAUUCCUGAUUGACAAAAUAUCUUGCCCAGACCAUCCCUUCUUUCCCCUCUAGUCAAAAUUAAUCUCUUCCUCACUCAUAAUGCAAAGUACAUUGGAUAACUAUUAUACCACUUACUUGAAUAACAGUCCUGAUGAGUAACAUAUGUAGUCAGUAACAUGGUAAGUGUGGCAAUUUGGAUUGAUCCCAUUGGACUUUUCAAUUGCUGCAUCCAGGGGUAAUUACCAUAAAAGCAUAAAAGAUAGAAUGGUAAAGCUGAAAGACAUCUUAAAGAUGAUUUUUGGGUACUGAUAUGGAAACAGAUCCAAAGAGACUAAUUGACUUGCCCAAGAUCACAGAUUGUGGCAGAACCAACCAAUGUCUUUUUUAAACAUUAAGAAUAUUUUGUAUAUAUAUUUAUGCAUAUACAUACUGAUGAAAUGUGCCUGUAGCAAUAGAUGUCUCCAGUGAUGUACUAAUAAAGGUUUAACAACUGGUUCUAAAUUGUAAUGUUUGCCAGUUUCCAUGACUGGAUCUUACAAGUUGGUGUGCACUGACUCCACCGUUCCACUGGAUGUGCCCCUGAAAUCAUAUAUUUACUACUAAAACCAUUAGAUCGUUUCUUUACUUGUUCUAGUUAUGCAUUCAGAGACACUUUACCUUAUUUUCUGAUUACAUUUGCAGGGAGAAAUAACUCCUUACUUGUCAGUCUCAACCUUCACUUUUAGUUUCUUUUUCUGUUCCUUUUUCCAACCCACUAUACCUUUGAAACUUUCAGUUUCUUUUAAGGAUUUAAUAACUUGCUAAUAAGUGUUAAAAAUGACUUAAUGGGUUCUAUCUUUUAAGGGAACUUUGGAUGAAUCCUUGAAUAUCAGUUAUCUGUAGCUAAUUCAUAAAUCACCCCAAAGUUCAUUGGCUUAAAACAACAAUCUUUCAUUAGUUUGUGUUCUUCCAGGUAAUUCUUGUCUGGAUCCAGCUUAGCUUAUCUUGGCUGAACUUGCCCAUGCAGCUGAGGUCAUUAGUUGGGUUGUUGAGGCUGGCUGGUCCUAUGUGGCAUCACUUGUAUGUCUGGUAUUGAGUGACUGUCAGCUGGGGCAUUAGGGGGACUGUGUCUCAUCAUCCAGCAAACUAGGCCUGGAUUAUUCACAUGGCUUUAGGGUUUCUAGAGUAUAAGAUUAGGGCUGGGCAUGAUGACUCACACUGGUAAUCCUAGCACUUUGGGAGGCCAAGGUUGGGGGAUUGCUUGAGCCCAGGAGUUCAAGACCAGCCUGGGCAACAUAGUGAGAGCCCAUUUGUAAAAAAAAAAAAAAAAUUUUUUUCCCAAGAUGGAGUUUCGCUCUUGUUACCCAGGCUGGAGUGCAAUGGCAUGAUCUCAGCUCACCGGAACCUUCGCUUCUUGGGUUCAAGCGAUUCUCCUACUUCAGUCUCCUGAGUAGCUGGGAUUACAGGCAUGCGCCUGUGUUGUUUUUCUCUGCUCAGACAGCUCAUCCACAUCACGGUUAUUUUAAUUUGCAUUUCCCUGAUAAUAUGUGAUAUGGAAUGUCUAUUUACUCUUAUUAUUUUUUCUUAUGAUUGAAGUUAUAAUAUUUCUUUAAAUAUUUUGGAUAAAUCUUUUGUCAGAUAUAUGCACUGGAAAUAUUUUUAUGGGGGACCAGUGUUGAUUAGAUCUGUUUAAAGAGAAAGGAGAGAACGUUUCAGGCAGGGAAUGCAAUCGAUGUGAAGGUUUGAGGUAAUUUGUUUCAUUUAUCUUUAACACCAUGUUAUCGAUGGCAAAAUAACUUCAUUGGCUUUUUUUUUUUAAUCAAGAAAAGACCUUUUCUGAAUGAAGUGGUAUUAGUAAACCUAAUGGUGACAAUAAAAGUGAUUCUGAAUAAAUGAAAACCAAAAGAGAUUGUUCUAGUUUUACUCAUAAAUAUAAUUCUUCAUAUACUGAGUUCAGUUUUUUAGCCAUAAAUGAAGACAUGGGAAAACCAUAACAUGUUAUUUGCUGAGAAGUUCUGGCAAAUGAAGCAAUAAAAUCAUGAAAACUAAAUCAACAUUUAAAUACAGAACGUAAAGAGUUAAGUCCAGAAGCAGAAGAUCUCUUUGAAAGAAAAACCUAAUUAAAAAACUGAAAGCACAGAUAUUCAGUAUUUCACAAAUAAACGUUAAUACUUUUUAGACAUCUUAUAAAGUAAGCAACUUUAGAUUGCUAAAACUAAAAAAAAAAAAAAAAUGCAAUUAUUAAGACAAUAGUGAAAAACUGCAUCAAAGAUUCUUAGAAAAUGUUGGGAGACUGUGUGGCAAAGAAAGUACCUCAAUUACCAGUACAACAAUUUGAAAUAUCCAGGAAGAUCAACCCAUGGAACAAAGAAAGCUAAUAAAUUACCUUUUCUUGCAAUUGGUUUGAGGUGCCAUUAAUGUAUAGAUAUUACUAAUAUGGCAAUUAGUUUAUAUGCUAUUUGAAUAUGAUAGUAAUAUGAAGGAAGAAUUCUCCUUUUUCUGCUUCAUUGCCAACAAACAACUAACUCUAAACAACAAAAAAGUAUGGAAUAAAUUACCUUGCCAAUAAAUGUGAUUUGAAGCUUUGUAUAGCAAUACAGUUGGAUGGAUAGCUGCACUAGAGUUACCAUCAAUUAUCUGAAGGUAGUUCUGAUAGCUUCAGAAUUCUUUCAUACAAGGCAGGAAUGUAACUUGUUUUUCAAUGGCAGAUAAAAUCAAAGAGCAAAAGCAAAAGGUAGAAGCUUGAAAGACCAGAGUUUCUACAGAUUGUUAUUACAUGUUCCAUAAUUUAACAAUUGUCAUUGAAGUUGGUGAUUAUCUUGAUAUUGCACAUCUGUGAGAAGUAAUCAAACUAUUAUGAAUUUGAUAGAAUGCUUUAAGUUUUAUUUUCCAACAAAAGAAUGCCUACAUAUGGCAAAUUCAUAGAUCUGGAAUCCAUUUAUUUCAUCAAAAGAGGAUUAAAGUUUAAUUGUAAGCUUAUAUGAUACAUUGUUCUAACUGGCAACUAAUGAAUAAUUAAAAAUGAGUUUUGAAAAUAGCA